rnacentral:rRNA from 1 species
AUUGAACGCUGGCGGAAUGCUUUACACAUGCAGGUCGAGCGGCAGCACGGGGGCAACCCUGGUGGCGAGCGGCGAACGGGUGAGUAAUACAUCGGAACAUGCCCAGUCGUGGGGGAUAACACUUCGAAAGAAGUGCUAAUACCGCAUACGUCCUGAGGGGGAAAGCGGGGGAUCGCAAGACCUCGCGCGAUUGGAGUGGCCGAUGUCAGAUUAGCUAGUUGGUGGGGUAAAGGCCUACCAAGGCAACGAUCUGUAGCUGGUCUGAGAGGAUGAUCAGCCACACUGGGACUGAGACACGGCCCAGACUCCUACGGGAGGCAGCAGUGGGGAAUUUUGGACAAUGGGGGCAACCCCGAUCCAGCCAUUCCGCGUGAGUGAAGAAGGCCUUCGGGUUGUAAAGCUCUUUCGGCAGGAACGAAACGGUGAGCUCUAACAUAGCUUGCUAAUGACGGUACCUGAAGAAGAAGCACCGGCUAACUACGUG